rnacentral:rRNA from 1 species
GUGGGGAAUUUUGGACAAUGGGCGAAAGCCUGAUCCAGCAAUGCCGCGUGCAGGAUGAAGGCCCUCGGGUUGUAAACUGCUUUUGUACGGAACGAAAAGCCUGGGGCUAAUAUCCCCGGGUCAUGACGGUACCGUAAGAAUAAGCACCGGCUAACUACGUGCCAGCAGCCGCGGUAAUCCGUAGGGUGCAAGCGUUAAUCGGAAUUACUGGGCGUAAAGCGUGCGCAGGCGGUUUUGUAAGACAGUGGGUAAAUCCCCGGGCUCAACCUGGGAACUGCCAUUGUGACUGCAAGGCUAGAGUGCGGCAGAGGGGGAUGGAAUUCCGCGUGUAGCAGUGAAAUGCGUAGAUAUGCGGAGGAACACCGAUGGCGAAGGCAAUCCCCUGGGCCUGCACUGACGCUCAUGCACGAAAGCGUGGGGAGCAAACAGGAUUAGAAACCCUUGUAGUCC